CCUGUACAUGUCCCCCUAGGUAUUUUGGGGACCACGCUUUUCCCUGGUUCCAUCUCCUUGUUCCCAUGAGGGGCUCAUGUGGCUGACUUUCUUUCUUGCCAGCUGCCGAGAUCUGCUGCUGGGCUGAGCCUUCCCUCCUCCCACCCACUCUCCUCUUCACCAGCACCUCAUCUGUGUUGACAUCUUCAGUCUUUUCUGUUUCUCCUGUGUCCCAGGCAGCUGACUUCCCUUGGUUUCCUUCCCACUCAGACCACUGGCUGCCUUCCUUGCUUCCCCUGCAGCUCAGCGCUGUUGUGUUUGCUCUCCCCUGCUCCCUGCCCAGGAGAGGUGGUGGUCUCUGAGGGAGCAUGUUGGAUGUCCUAGCACAGCCUGGACCCUGUUAAGUGUCACCCCAUCUUAGUGCCUUACAUCUGAGCUGCUGUGGACUCGGAAAAAUCCAUACAUUCAUUCAUCUUCCUCCUUUGUUCAGCAGCCAUUUUCUGACAGAAAAGCAACUGCUUUCUCCGUGCUGUAAACACACUGAACUAGCAAUAACUGUUUUAUAGUUUUGCUGCCCUUGCUGUUAAUGGAGAAGUGUUAAGUGUCUGUGUAUUCUUACUUGGCUACUGGCCACCCUUUCAAUUCCUAGUGCAAUUUUUCUUUUGACGUUCAGAGCUGCUCAUUGUAAAAACAGACCAGGUAUGUUUCAAGCUUUGGCGUAGCCUUAAAUCUUAUUGUGACUUUUAGGUUAUUCCAGCCUUUGUUGAUGGGCUUAUUGUUUCUUUCCAUUGUGGCCGAUUCUUUCUGACUCUGCCAGUUCCCAGUCAGCCCUGUGCAACUCUCCAGCCCUGACAAGGAUCUGUUAGGUCUUCUCUACAAAGGACUGAGAGAGAAGAAGGAAUGGGGUGCCAAGAAGGACAUGCAGGGUGGAAGGGACAGGGGGCAGAGAUGUCUUCCAAACCUGGUAUUGAGGAAAAGGACCACAGGACUACCUCAGGAAAGAAGAUACAACUUGGGAGAAGAUACAAACUUGGGAGGUUGGUCUGCAUUUUCUCUCUCCAAAGCUUUUUGAAGAAGAUACGAAUAUCUUCAUAUUAGAUAUAUAUAUGUGAAUAUCUGGAACUCUGUCACCUGGACACUUUCUUUCCUUUACAGGGAUCUUUCUUGCAAGUGAAAUAUUAGAAGCUAGUGAAAUCAUUCCAGUGCACCCACGCCAAGUGGGUGGAAGAGGUAUGUGAAAAUUAAAUGUAUUAUUUGGAAGCUUCUCUGGAUGCUUCUUGCUUUCCUGGGGGAAGGAAGGACCUAGAACUGUUUGAUUGUAUCGUUUUGUUUCCCACCUUAAUUGGCUUCAGUAGGCUUUAUGAACCAUUUCUGUCCAAGCAGUGUUCUAACACAUGUUCAAAA
rnacentral:lncRNA from 1 species